rnacentral:rRNA from 1 species
GUGGGGAAUUUUGGACAAUGGGCGCAAGCCUGAUCCAGCAAUGCCGCGUGCAGGAAGAAGGCCUUCGGGUUGUAAACUGCUUUUGUACGGAACGAAACGGUCCGGGUUAAUACCCUGGGCUAAUGACGGUACCGUAAGAAUAAGCACCGGCUAACUACGUGCCAGCAGCCGCGGUAAUACGUAGGGUGCAAGUGUUAAUCGGAAUUACUGGGCGUAAAGCGUGCGCAGGCGGGUUUGUAAGACAGGCGUGAAAUCCCCGGGCUCAACCUGGGAAUUGCGCUUGUGACUGCAAGGCUGGAGUGCGGCAGAGGGGGAUGGAAUUCCGCGUGUAGCAGUGAAAUGCGUAGAUAUGCGGAGGAACACCGAUGGCGAAGGCAAUCCCCUGGGCCUGCACUGACGCUCAUGCACGAAAGCGUGGGGAGCAAACAGGAUUAGAUACCCGUGUAGUCC